rnacentral:rRNA from 1 species
AUUGAACGCUGGCGGCCGGCCUAACACAUGCAAGUCGAACGAGUGGCGGACGGGUGAGUAAUGUCUGGGAAACUGCCUGAUGGAGGGGGAUAACUACUGGAAACGGUAGCUAAUACCGCAUACCAUCAGAUGUGCCCAGAUGGGAUGAGCUAGGUGGUGGGGUAACGGCUCACCAAGGAGACGAUCCAUAGCUGGUCUGAGAGGAUGAACAGCCACACUGGAACUGAGACACGGUCCAGACUCCUACGGGAGGCAGCAGCGGGGAAUAUUGCACAAUGGGCGCAAGCCUUAUGCAGCCAUGCCGCGUGUAUGAAGAAGGCCUUCGGGUUGUAAAGUACUUUCAGCGGGGAGGCGUUACCCGCAGAAGAAGCACCGGCUAACUCCGUGCCAGCCGCCGCGGUAAGAC